rnacentral:sRNA from 1 species
CCCCCGGUCGGACAGUGUCCGACCGGGGGUU